ensembl:misc_RNA Metazoa_SRP Metazoan signal recognition particle RNA
GCCCUGCCUGUGGCCCCGGCUACUCCGGAGGCUGAGGCGGGAGCAGCGCUUGAGCCCUGGGAGCUCUGCGCUAUAUGCCCUGUGCCCAUUGCGCGGCGACACGCAUUGGUGUUCCGCAUCGGUGUGGUGACUUCCCGGGAGCAGGGACCACCAGGUUCCCCAAGGAGUGGGGGGAACCGGCCCAGCUCGGAAACCGGGCAGGGCAAAACUCCUGUGCUGAUCGGUAGUGGGAUCGCGCCUGUGAAUAGCCACUGCCCUCCAGCCUGGGCAAUACAGCGAGACCCCAU